rnacentral:rRNA from 1 species
AUUGAACGCUGGCGGCAGGCCUAACACAUGCAAGUCGAACGAGUGGCGGACGGGUGAGUAAUGUCUGGGAAACUGCCUGAUGGAGGGGGAUAACUACUGGAAACGGUAGCUAAUACCGCAUACCAUCGGAUGUACCCAGAUGGGAUUAGCUAGUAGGUGGGGUAAAGGCUCACCUAGGCGACGAUCCCUAGCUGGUCUGAGAGGCUGACCAGCCACCCUGGAACUGAGACACGGUCCAGACUCCUACGAGAGGCAGGAGGGGGGAAUAUGGCACAAUGGGAGCAAGCCUGAUGCAGCCAUGCCGCGUGUAUGAAGAAGGCCUUCGGGUUGUAAAGUACUUUCAGCGGGGAGGCGUUACCCGCAGAAGAAGCACCGGCUAACUCCGUGCCAGCAGCCGCGUAAUUC